rnacentral:tRNA from 1 species
GAGCCCGUGGCUCAAUGGUAGAGCGUUCGACUCAAAUUCCAUAGGUUGCGGGUUCG